rnacentral:rRNA from 1 species
UACGAGGGGGGCAAGCGUUGUUCGGAAUUAUUGGGCGUAAAGGGCGCGUAGGCGGUCUGAUAAGUCUGAUGUGAAAUCUCUGGGCUCAACCCAGAGUCUGCAUUAGAAACUGUCGGGCUUGAGUAUGGGAGAGGUGCGUGGAAUUUCCGGUGUAGCGGUGAAAUGCGUAGAUAUCGGAAGGAACACCUGUGGCGAAAGCGGCGCACUGGACCAAAACUGACGCUGGAGGCGCGAAAGCUAGGGGAGCAAACAGG